rnacentral:rRNA from 1 species
ACCAGACUCCUACGGGAGGCAGCAGUGGGGGAUAUUGCACAAUGGGGGAAACCCUGAUGCAGCGACGCCGCGUGAGUGAAGAAGUAUUUCGGUACGUAAAGCUCUAUCAGCAGGGAAGAAGAAAGACGGUACCUGAGUAAGAAGCCCCGGCUAACUACGUGCCAGCAGCCGCGGUAAUACGUAGGGGGCAAGCGUUAUCCGGAUUUACUGGGUGUAAAGGGAGCGUAGACGGUAUGGCAAGUCUGAAGUGAAAGCCCCGGGCUCAACCUGGGAACUGCUUUGGAAACUGUUAAACUAGAGUGCUGGAGAGGCAGGCGGAAUUCCUAGUGUAGCGGUGAAAUGCGUAGAUAUUAGGAGGAACACCAGUGGCGAAGGCGGCCUGCUGGACAGUAACUGACGUUGAGGCUCGAAAGCGUGGGGAGCAAACAGGAUUAGAUACCCGAGUA